GACGAACGCUGGCGGCGUGCCUAACACAUGCAAUUCGAGCGGAGCGGCGGACGGGUGAGUAAUGCCUAGGACUCUGCCUGGUAGUUGGGGAUAACGUCCGGAAACGGGCGCUAAUAUCGCAUACUCUCAGCUUAGCCUAGGUCGGUUUAGCUAGUUGGUGGGGUAAAGGCCUACCACGGCGACGAUCCGUAACUGGUCUGAGAGGAUGAUCAGUCACACUGGAACUGAGACACGGUCCAGACUCCUACGGGAGGCAGCAGUGGGGAAUAUUGGACAAUGGGCGAAAGCCUGAUCCAGCCAUGCCGCGUGUGUGAAGAAGGUCUUCGGAUUGGAAAGCACUUUAAGUUGGGAGGCGUUACCAACAGAAUAAGCACCGGCUAACUUCGUGCCAGCAGCCGCGGUAAUUC
rnacentral:rRNA from 1 species